rnacentral:rRNA from 1 species
CCUGACCUCAAAUCGGGUGAGACUACCCGCUGAACUUAAGCAUAUCAAUAAGCGGAGGAAAAGAAACUAACCAGGAUUCCCCUAGUAACUGCGAGUGAAGCGGGAAAAGCUCAAAUUUAAAAUCUGGUGGCCCUAUGACCAUCCGAGUUGUAAUUUAGAGAAGCGUCUUCCGCGCUGGACCCGUGCACAAGUCUCCUGGAAUGGAGCAUCAUAGAGGGUGAGAAUCCCGUCUUUGGCACGGACCCCCAGGGCUUUUGUGAUGCGCUCUCAAAGAGUCGAGUUGUUUGGGAAUGCAGCUCAAAAUGGGUGGUGAACUCCAUCUAAAGCUAAAUACAGGCGAGAGACCGAUAGCGAACAAGUACCGUGAGGGAAAGAUGAAAAGCACUUUGGAAAGAGAGUGAAACAGUACGUGAAAUUGUUGAAAGGGAAACGCUUGAAGUCAGUCGCGUCGACCGAGACUCAGCCUUGCCUCGGCUUGGUGUACUUCUCGGUAGACGGGUCAGCGUCAAUUUUGCCCCUCGGAUAAUGGCAGGGGAAAGGUGGCACCCUUCACGGGGUGUGUUAUAGUCUUCUGUCGGAUGCGGGGGGGUUCAGGAUUGAGGAACUCAGCACGCGCCUCUCGGCGUCGGGGCUUCGGCUCACGCUACGUGCUUAGGAUGCUGGCGUAAUGGCUUUAAACGACCCGUCUUGAAACACGGACCAAGGAGUCUAACAUGCCCGCGAGUGUUCGGGUGGAAAACCCGUGCGCGUAAUGAAAGUGAAAGUUGGGACCCCCGUCGUGGGGGGCACCGAUGCCCGGACCAGACCUUCUGUGACGGAUCUGCGGUAGAGCGUGCAUGUUGGGACCCGAAAGAUGGUGAACUAUGCCUGAAUAGGGUGAAGCCAGAGGAAACUCUGGUGGAGGCUCGUAGCGAUUCUGACGUGCAAAUCGAUCGUCAAAUUUGGGUAUAGGGGCGAAAGACUAAUCGAACCAUC